GAACCGUCCAAACGUUAUUCGGAAUCAUUGGGGCUUAAAGGGGUGCGUAGGCGGUGCGGUCAGUUGGGUGUGAAAUCCCUCGGCUCAACCGAGGAACUGCGCCCAAUACUGCCGCGCUCGAGGGAGACAGAGGUAAGCGGAACUGAUGGUGGAGCGGUGAAAUGCGUUGAUAUCAUCAGGAACACCAGUGGCGAAGGCGGCUUACUGGGUCUCUUCUGACGCUGAGGCACGAAAGCUAGGGGAGCGAACGGGAUUAGAUACCCCGGUAGUCCUGGCUGUAAACGAUGAGCACUUGAUCGGAGGCUCCUCCAUAGGUUUCCGGUCGUAGCGAAAGUGUUAAGUGCUCCGCCUGGGGAGUAUGGUCGCAAAGGCUG
rnacentral:rRNA from 1 species